UAGGCUAUAUUACAUGGAUUUAUUGUGAUGGUGUAGGCUAUAUUACAUGGAUUUAUUGUGAUGGUGUAGGCUAUAUUACAUGGAUUUAUUGUGAUGGUGUAGGCUAUAUUACAUGGAUUUAUUGUGAUGGUGUAGGCUAUAUUACAUGGAUUUAUUGUGAUGGUGUAGGCUAUAUUACAUGGAUUUAUUGUGAUGGUGUAGGCUAUAUUACAUGGAUUUAUUGUGAUGGUGUAGGCUAUAUUACAUGGAUUUAUUGUGAUGGUGUAGGCUAUAUUACAUGGAUUUAUUGUGAUGGUGUAGGCUAUAUUACAUGGAUUUAUUGUGAUGGUGUAGGCUAUAUUACAUGGAUUUAUUGUGAUGGUGUAGGCUAUAUUACAUGGAUUUAUUGUGAUGGUGUAGGCUAUAUUACAUGGAUUUAUUGUGAUGGUGUAGGCUAUAUUACAUGGAUUUAUUGUGAUGGUGUAGGCUAUAUUACAUGGAUUUAUUGUGAUGGUGUAGGCUAUAUUACAUGGAUUUAUUGUGAUGGUGUAGGCUAUAUUACAUGGAUUUAUUGUGAUGGUGUAGGCUAUAUUACAUGGAUUUAUUGUGAAGGUGUAGGCUAUAUUACAUGGAUUUAUUGUGAUGGUGUAGGCUAUAGAACAUGGAUUUAUUGUGAUGGUGUAGGCUAUAGAACAUGGAUUUAUUGUGAUGGUGUAGGCUAUAUUACAUGGAUUUAUUGUGAUGGUGUAGGCUAUAUUACAUGGAUUUAUUAGACUUUUUCAAAUGUAGAUGUUCCAAAGGUCUGUAUCAGUGGCUUGUAGGCUACGUGUGGAAGCCAAUAGAUGCUAA